ACGGAAGGCAGCAGUGGGGAAUAUUGGGCAAUGGGCGAAAGCCUGACCCAGCGACGCCGCGUGAGGGAAGAAGGUCUUCGGAUUGUAAACCUCUUUCAGCAGGGAAGAAGCAAGUGACGGUACCUGCAGAAGAAGUCACGGCUAACUACGUGCCAGCAGCCGCGGUAAUACGUAGGUGGCAAGCGUUGUCCGGAAUUACUGGGUGUAAAGGGAGCGCAGGCGGGACUGCAAGUUGGAUGUGAAAUACCGGAGCUCAACUCCGGGGCUGCAUCCAAAACUGUAGUUCUUGAGUGGAGUAGAGGUAAGCGGAAUUCCGAGUGUAGCGGUGAAAUGCGUAGAUAUUCGGAGGAACACCAGUGGCGAAGGCGGCUUACUGGGCUCUAACUGACGCUGAGGCUCGAAAGCGUGGGGAGCAAACAGGAUUAGAUACCCUGGUA
rnacentral:rRNA from 1 species